rnacentral:rRNA from 1 species
CUCGAAUUAAAAAGAGCUAAAUGUAAUAUUUUAUAGAUGUAGAAUAAUUUUAUAAAAAUUAUAUUUGGUAAUGAAACGUUAAUCGUUUUUUUAGAUAUCUAGUUUUUUAAGAAAAAAAUUUAAUUUUAUAAUAAAUUAUUAAUUUAUUAAUUUAUUAAUAUUUUAUUAAUUAUUAUAAAUAUUUUUAGGGAUGAGCUUAAGAAUAAAUUUUUAAAAAUUUUGAUUUUUAAAUAAUAUAUAGGAUUAAAAAUUUUCAUUAUUAAUAUUUUGUUAUAAUUAGUUAUUAAUUUAUAUUAUUUAUAUAAAAUUUUAAAUAGUUUAUUAAAAUAUUUUUUUAAACUUAUAAAAUUAAGAAAUUAUAAUAAAAUUAGUAUAAUUUUAUGUAUAUUUAAAAGUAAUUGGUAGGUUAAUUAAAGUAAUUCGGCAAAUUAAUUUUUCACCUGUUUAUUAAAAACAUGUCUUUUUGAUAAUAAUUUAAAGUCUGGCCUGCCCAUUGAAAGUUUUAACGGCCGCAGUAUUUUGACUGUGCAAAGGUAGCAUAAUCAAUAGUUUUUUAAUUGAAAGCUGGUAUGAAGGGUUGAAUGAAAAAAUUACUGUCUCUAUAUAAUUUAAUUAGAAUUUUAUUUUUAAGUAAAAAAGCUUAAAUAUUAUUUAAAGACGAGAAGACCCUAUAGAGUUUAAAAUUUAAAUUUUAUUUUAUAUUUUUAGUAUUUAUCAUAAAAAUUAAUUUAAAUUUUUGAUUGGGGUGAUUUAAAAAUUAAAUAAACUUUUUAUAAUUUUAUACAUUUAUAUAUGAAUAUUUGAUCCAAUAAAUUUGAUUAAAAGAUAAAUUACCUUAGGGAUAACAGCGUUAUUUUUUUUGAGAGUUCUUAUCGAAAAAAAAGGUUGCGACCUCGAUGUUGGAUUAAAAUAAAAUUUUGGUGUAGAAGCUAGAAUAAUUAGGUCUGUUCGACCUUUAAAAUUUUACAUGAUCUGAGUUUAAACCGGUGUAAGCCAGGUUGGUUUCUAUCUUGAAUAAGUUAAAAUAUUUUAGUACGAAAGGACCAAAUAUU